rnacentral:rRNA from 1 species
AUACAGAGGGUGCAAGCGUUAAUCGGAUUUACUGGGCGUAAAGCGCGCGUAGGUGGCUAAUUAAGUCAAAUGUGAAAUCCCCGAGCUUAACUUGGGAAUUGCAUUCGAUACUGGUUAGCUAGAGUAUGGGAGAGGAUGGUAGAAUUCCAGGUGUAGCGGUGAAAUGCGUAGAGAUCUGGAGGAAUACCGAUGGCGAAGGCAUCCAUCUGGCCUAAUACUGACACUGAGUUGCGAAAGCAUGGGGAGCAAACAGGAUUAGAUACCCUGGUAGUCCAUGCCGUAAACGAUGUCUACUAGACGUUGGGGCCCUUGAGGCUUUAGUGGCGCAGCUAACGCGAUAAGUAGACCGCCUGGGGAGUACGGUCGCAAGACUAAAACUCAAAUGAAUUGACGGGG